UACGUGGGGUGCGAGCGUUGUCCGGAAUUAUUGGGCGUAAAGAGCUCGUAGGCGGUCUGUCGCGUCGGUCGUGAAAACUUGGGGCUUAACCCUGAGCUUGCGGUCGAUACGGGCAUGACUGGAGUUCGGCAGGGGAGACUGGAAUUCCUGGUGUAGCGGUGAAAUGCGCAGAUAUCAGGAGGAACACCGGUGGCGAAGGCGGGUCUCUGGGCCGAUACUGACGCUGAGGAGCGAAAGCGUGGGGAGCGAACAGG
rnacentral:rRNA from 1 species